AUUGAACGCUUGCGGCAGGCUUAACACAUGCAAGUCGAGCGGGCGAGGUUGCUUCGGUAACUGAGCUAGCGGCGGACGGGUGAGUAAAGCUUAGGAAUCUGCCUAUUAGUGGGGGACAACAUUUCGAAAGGGAUGCUAAUACCGCAUACGUCCUACGGGAGAAAGCAGGGGCCCUUCGGGCCUUGCGCUAAUAGAUGAGCCUAAGUCGGAUUAGCUAGUUGGUGGGGUAAAGGCCUACCAAGGCGACGAUCUGUAGCGGGUCUGAGAGGAUGAUCCGCCACACUGGGACUGAGACACGGCCCAGACUCCUACGGGAGGCAGCAGUGGGGAAUAUUGGACAAUGGGGGGAACCCUGAUCCAGCCAUGCCGCGUGUGUGAAGAAGGCCUUUUGGUUGUAAAGCACUUUAAGUGGGGAGGAGGCUUACCUGGUUAAUACCUGGGCUAAGUGGACGUUACCCACAGAAUAAGCACCGGCUAACUCUGUGCCAGCAGCCGCGGUAAUACAGAGGGUGCGAGCGUUAAUCGGAUUUACUGGGCGUAAAGCGCGCGUAGGUGGUUAAUUAAGUCAAAUGUGAAAUCCCCGAGCUUAACUUGGGAAUUGCAUUCGAUACUGGUUAGCUAGAGUAUGGGAGAGGAUGGUAGAAUUCCAGGUGUAGCGGUGAAAUGCGUAGAGAUCUGGAAGAAUACCGAUGGCGAAGGCAGCCAUCUGGCCUAAUACUGACACUGAGGUGCGAAAGCAUGGGGAGCAAACAGGAUUAGAUACCCUGGUAGUCCAUGCCGUAAACGAUGUCUACUAGCCGUUGGGGGAUUUGAUCCUUUAGUGGCGCAGCUAACGCGAUAAGUAGACCGCCUGGGGAGUACGGUCGCAAGACUAAAACUCAAAUGAAUUGACGGGGGCCCGCACAAGCGGUGGAGCAUGUGGUUUAAUUCGAUGCAACGCGAAGAACCUUACCUGGCCUUGACAUAGUAGAGACUUUCCAGAGAUGGAUUGGUGCCUUCGGGAAUCUACAUACAGGUGCUGCAUGGCUGUCGUCAGCUCGUGUCGUGAGAUGUUGGGUUAAGUCCCGCAACGAGCGCAACCCUUUUCCUUACUUGCCAGCAUUUCGGAUGGGAACUUUAAGGAUACUGCCAGUGACAAACUGGAGGAAGGCGGGGACGACGUCAAGUCAUCAUGGCCCUUACGGCCAGGGCUACACACGUGCUACAAUGGUCGGUACAAAGGGUUGCUACACAGCGAUGUGAUGCUAAUCUCAAAAAGCCGAUCGUAGUCCGGAUCGCAGUCUGCAACUCGACUGCGUGAAGUCGGAAUCGCUAGUAAUCGCGGAUCAGAAUGCCGCGGUGAAUACGUUCCCGGGCCU
rnacentral:rRNA from 1 species